rnacentral:rRNA from 1 species
AUGGCUGAAACUUUGGCGUUAAAAUUUGGCCUAUCGCUUGCGCAAAGGACGGGUUGUAAUCGCAUAAUUAUUAACUCGGAUAAUAUGGAGGUGAUCGAGACCAUGAACGAAGGAGGACGAUCGUCGGGGGCAGCAGCUGCAAUUUUUGAUGACUGUUUUCACUUAGCUUGUGAUUUUCCUAUUUCUAGAUUCGAGCAUUGUAAUAGAGAAGCAAAUAAAGUUGCUCAUGAACUUGCCAAGUUGGCUAGAUUUUCUUUCAUUUCUGAUUGGUUUGAGGAACCACAUAAUGCAAUUGUACCAAUCCUCAUAAACGAUGUAAUGAUUAUUUCAAAUGAAUAA